rnacentral:lncRNA from 1 species
UUUACGAUGGAAUGUCACCUCGUACAGAAUAUUUACGGUUGGUUGGCAGGUAUUUUUUAUGAUACAUGAUGUGAUAAUGUGUUUACCUUAUUAGCUUAUUUAUUUUCUUAAUGUAAUAACUUGUGUUUUAGCCGUAAUCCUCUAAAUACCAGCAGUGCCAUAGUUUAUUUACAAGAGAAGCCAUAUUUAAUUGGUAUUGGCGGCCUAAUACACGAGAUUGCCUGUGAACAUAACAAACGUUUUGAUUGGUCGAUCCAUUGACCGGAAAAUUAUAAAUAGAAGGUUGACGAAACGAACUUUAGAAUUAUUCUCAGAUUUAUU